GACACUAUGGCCGAGUGGUUAAGGCGACAGAUUCGAAUCCCAUUGCUAUCUGUUUCCCUAUGGGAGCGCAGGUUCAAAUCCUGCUGGUGUCG